rnacentral:lncRNA from 1 species
AAAACUAACAAACUUUACGACCUUCUAUCUAUUUUCGUAGCAUCAGCAAUACCAUUGAGCAUACACCAGAUGUAUACAAAGAUGGACGUAUGUCUACCGAGCUUCAAGCACGGUCAUAGUGACUUCAUUUACAGAAUUACCUCCAUCACUAGCUGAUACUGGCUCUCCACUGUUGUAACUUCUCUUCAUAAUGAAUGCAGGUUGAUUCGGAGACGGAAGAAUCGUAUGAUUACUCAGCAUGAAAACAACAGUGGUCAUUGCUGGCCUAUCCACUGCAGAUUCUUGGACACAUA